CGUAGGGGCGAGCGUUGUCCGGAAUCAUUGGGCGUAAAGAGCGUGUAGGCGGCCCGGUAAGUCCGCUGUGAAAACCCGGGGCUCAACCCCGGGCGUGCAGUGGAAACUGCCGGGCUAGAGGGCGGCAGAGGCGAGUGGAAUUCCCGGUGUAGCGGUGAAAUGCGCAGAUAUCGGGAGGAACACCGGUAGCGAAGGCGGCUCGCUGGGCCGUUCCUGACGCUGAGACGCGAAAGCUAGGGGAGCGAACAGGAUU
rnacentral:rRNA from 1 species